ACCGAAGCAGCCCGAGGAGGCGGCUGCUCUGUGUGUCGGAACGGUGAGAGCGGGGGCCGGGGCUGGGGCAGGUUAUCAACCGAGUAUAUACCUGCAAUCCUCCCCUUGCAGCUGCUGACAGCACUGAAAACCUGUGUGCUUCGUGGUGUCUAUUGCCCAGCUGGCAACGAUUCCCUUGUGUUUGGUGCAUUAAGUCACACUGAGCUGUGUGGGAUGGCAGGUGAGCACAUUGCCUGACCCUUUUAGCUUUUCUGGCUCACGCACAACUUCCUUUCCUUUUGGAUAUGGAAAACAGGGAAGAGAGGGUAGUGUGACAUUAGCACUAAUUUCUAGCAGAUUUUUAACUGCCCCUGAUGCUCAUUCAUCUUUGCAGUGUGGGUUUUCAUGCUGACAAAUCCUCUGCUUUGCCUUCUGCUCACAGUCAGCUGGGCCCUUUAUUGAACAGAUUUAUCUGCUACAAGGCUACGCAGAAGGAUGGAAAGGAGGAACACAGGGGGGAAAAAAAAUAGAUUCAAGGCAUAGAGAAGGUAGCUGGUUUAUUUGUAUGACAUGUAGCUUUUUUAGGAUGUUUUGUUCUUUAUAUGGCGUUAAUUUCAAAGAGAAGCCUGUGAACUUUGUGUUCCCCUUUUGGGGCUGGUUCUGGGGUAAGGGGGAAACACGAGGCCUAAGCACCUCUGGCUUAUCUGUCCAAGGAUCUGCCUCAGUUGUGGCUCCCAUCCUUCUGAAGGACUCUUCAGCGCAGUGAGUUACCUUCUAUAACUAUUCAUUGUUGUAUUGUUGUUGUGAGACCUCAUUGCUGGGUGAGAGGACCAGGGGAAAUGAAAGGCUGUAUGCCACUGUUACUUCAUCACUGAAUUCUUGCACUCUGUUAAAAUCAAAACAAAAGGGAUUUACACUGUCAGAAACACUUAACUGUAAGUUAAGGUAAAGGUCACAGUGCUAAAACCUAAGAGCAGAUAGGGUUGAGCUCCUUUGUCUUCCCUCUCCGGCAGCUUUUGUGACUCCUGCCUCCAAGGUAUCAUCAGCUAUCCCCUGGAUCUUGCAGUGGAAGAGAUGCUGAACCACCAGCUGUUCCAUAUUCUACACCAUGUGUCUUUUUACCAUGUUCCUCUGAGAAGCAUCUCUCCCGUCUCUGUUUCUUUGCAGACCAGAAGGGAUAAACUGGGAUUCCUUUGUUCUUUUGCCUGUUAAUAAAAAGGCCGCUUGUGGCUGUGUGCAGUGGCAACUGCAUCACAGAAUCUUAGAGGUGAUUAUUCACAGGUUAAGGAAAUAAUUCCUUUUUUUGUCACUGCUGCACUGAAUUUCAUAGGCGUGUCUGUGGCUUGAUGCCUAAGAUAUUUAAAGCAGGUUUUAUUCUUACAGGGGUUUUGCACACUAAAGUGUGUGCCCAGGUUUUGUUUCCAAAAGUGAGGUAUAGUGCUGGGUGUUUAAUUUGGUAUGUUACUUGUUCUGUUGUGUAAAUAACUGCAGCUCCCUCCCUGUGCCUGUGUAUUGCAGGGGCAGGCGAGCGCUGGUUAUAAAGGUGGCGAUAAUUAGGAAGAAGCUGUUUAAGCUUGGAUAAAUGUUUAGAAAUCAUUGCUUAGGGUACUGCAUAGAUGUACCAGAAGGAACUGCACCCUGGAAGUGCUGUGUGUCUGAAACCGACUGCACCUGCUCAUUUUUAGCUCCUCUUUCUGACUCUGACUCUGCUCCUAUUCCGACAGACCCGUCCGAGCCUGGCGUUCGCUACAGGCCUCCGCGUGGUGGGAGAUGAGUCUAGGAGGAAAUACCUUCAAUCCACAGACGAGGCAGAAAGGACUCAGUACAAGGAGGACUGGACUCAGAUGAAGUGAAGGAAACUGGAAUUCCUUCUUGUAUUCAGCACCACGUGUGGGUGUAAAGUUGAGCUGCCACGUGCCAGUUGAGAGCUGAUUUGGUCAAGGAGAGGAAUUCUUGCCUAGGAAGAUUUGGCACUCCAGUUUCUCUUGCAUGGCAGAGGCCACCCGAGAUCGAAAUGUUGCUACAAGUGUCCCGAGCUAUUUCCAGUUAAGAUGGGCACAGCUCCAGGUGGCCCAUAGCUUGGGGUUCAUCUCAGAAGGAGGGACUUCAUUUGGUCACAGAGAAGACGUGCCUUCCCUGCAAGGAGCAGUAAAGAAAAUCCACAGCCUCUUGAAGAGGCUUAAAUGUGAGUAAGCUUUUGUAGCCACUGAUGCUGUUGAGGAAGGUAUUUUAUAGGCAUAUUUCAACAUUUUCCUUCCUAAUCCACGAGUAAAGGGAGAUGUUGGGAUUUGAUCCAAAAGAUCUUACAACCGAUUUUGUGGUGAAACAGAGAAAAACCGUGAGCAGCCAACUCACUGGAAACCUGUAUGUUAAACGCAGAGAAGCACAAAGUGUUUGAUGCUGUUAGAGUUCAAAAUAACAAGGAAAAAUGGUGGGGAAUUUACCUGCCUUGGAACAAAGUAUGACCCCAUCCCAUACUCUCAGCUCCCGCUCCCCUUCCAGCGUGGCUGUGACCCGGGCUGGCCGUACCGCUCGGUGUGUCUGGACCUCACAGCAUUUCUACGUGGCUGCUGCACCCGGGUCCCCAGUACGUCCUGCUCUGGCUGCCUUCCCCGAGCGGUCCCACGUGCACCAAGCGGGUGCUACAGACCACAGGGGCCUCUUGGCUGCAGAGCUGGGUGAUGGGAGACAACAAAGCAAUGCCCAGGAUGCAGCUGUUCAAGCCAGCCUCGCCUCACGGAGCAUUUCUUUCUCACCUGUCCAUGGUUCUCUCUCUGUGUGUGUCUGUGCUCCUUUUUAAACUGCAGGGCUGGGAGGCCUGGCCAUUCCACCGGGAGUGCUCACCCUGGGAGCACCAGUCUCUACCUUGGGAGGAAGCAAGCUGCCACCAGAAUAAAAGCAGGGUGGAGCUGCUCCCACUCCAAGGCAAGAGCCUGCAAGGCCCAUCCUUUGGGGACUCGUCUUUUGUGUGAAGGCACAUUGUCUAGCAGAGGAAGAGGUUGGUACCUGGUGGAGCAGGGCCAAGAUUCCAUUUUCCCCAGGCAGCUCCCUCCUCUGCCUGCUGUAGCGCUGGCCAGGGCUGGGAGAGGAGGGGGAGUGUGUUCAGCACUGCUGCUGGAACGGAGUGGCCCUCUCAGGAGGAUCCCGGUUGCUUCAGGACCUUGCUUUUGCACUGGUUUGUGUCCACAAAGGAAAGGCAUGCAGAAGGCAGCACCAUCACCCCAGCCCUGCAGUCAGGAGUCCAUCAGCUUUCCCCACAGUGAACGUGGUUAAGGUCUCCUUAACCAAAGGAAAACUCAGCACCACUACAGAUGUACAGAACAGCAAUUUAUCCACUGGGGCCCUCCGACACACUUUGCCCAUUAUGUGUCCAGAAGACUCCAAGUACUGGCUUUACAUGUCCACAAGCAUGGCCAAAGCCACACAUACAGAGCAACACCAAGUUUUCAAGGUGUACCAAGAGAAACAAAGAUUUAAUAACAUUAUUUCUUAGACAA